rnacentral:rRNA from 1 species
AGAGUUUGAUCAUGGCUCAGGACGAACGCUGGCGGCGUGCUUAACACAUGCAAGUCGAACGGACUUUAUUAAGGAGCUUGCUCCGAGAUAAAGUUAGUGGCGGACGGGUGAGUAACGCGUGGGCAACCUACCCUUAAUACCGGGACAACAGUUGGAAACGACUGCUAAUACCGGAUACGCUUCUUGAGUGACAUCGCUUAAGAAGGAAAGAUGGCCUCUGAAUAUGCUAUCGAUUAAGGAUGGGCCCGCGUCUGAUUAGCUAGUUGGUAAGGUAACGGCUUACCAAGGCGACGAUCAGUAGCCGGCCUGAGAGGGUGAUCGGCCACACUGGGACUGAGACACGGCCCAGACUCCUACGGGAGGCAGCAGUGGGGAAUCUUCCGCAAUGGGCGAAAGCCUGACGGAGCAACGCCGCGUGAAUGACGAAGGCCUUCGGGUCGUAAAGUUCUGUCUCAUGGGACGAAUGUGCACUUUGUGAAUAAUGAAGUGUAAUGACGGUACUAUAGGAGGAAGCCCCGGCUAACUACGUGCCAGCAGCCGCGGUAAUACG